GGGGCUACGGGAGAGGCACUCCAACCCCUGUGACAUACCACUUGUUGCCUCGGCGGAUCAGCCCGCUCCCGGUAAAACGGGACGGCCCGCCAGAGGACCCCUAAACUCUGUUUCUAUAUGUAACUUCUGAGUAAAACCAUAAAUAAAUCAAAACUUUCAACAACGGAUCUCUUGGUUCUGGCAUCGAUGAAGAACGCAGCAAAAUGCGAUAAGUAAUGUGAAUUGCAGAAUUCAGUGAAUCAUCGAAUCUUUGAACGCACAUUGCGCCCGCCAGUAUUCUGGCGGGCAUGCCUGUUCGAGCGUCAUUUCAACCCUCAAGCACAGCUUGGUGUUGGGACUCGCGUUAAUUCGCGUUCCUCAAAUUGAUUGGCGGUCACGUCGAGCUUCCAUAGCGUAGUAGUAAAACCCUCGUUACUGGUAAUCGUCGCGGCCACGCCGUUAAACCCCAACUUCUGAAUGUUGACCUCGGAUCAGGUAGGAAUACCCGCUGAACUUAAGCAUAUCAAAGGGGGGAAGGAA
rnacentral:rRNA from 1 species